UUCUUCUUAUGUGAGCAAUUAACUUCAAGCAGUUUCCAGCCAAAGAGAAAGGCCAGGCCAGCCGGCCCUUCCUUUCUUUGAUUCCUUCAGCCCUUGGUUGCUUCUUUUGUUAGGUGACUGCGCAACCAUCAAACCACUGAAAAAUGAAACAAGCAAACUGGACUACCAUGCACUCUUAUGCCAACGAAGAAACAAAAACUGAAAAAUCACUAACAGCUCUUUGCUUCCCCCUUGUCCUUUGAGUGCGGAAGCCGGGGAGGUGGAGGGCAGUGGGCAACUCGCUGGGGCACCAGGAGCACGGUUCUCCCUACCAUACACCACCAUGAAGAAGGGGUUGCUUUAAACACUGUUCUUCUUCCUUCUUUAUCUCUGUAGAAAAUGCAACCAUGCAGGGAAACCUUGGCCAAAUGCCACAGCGUCCUGGCUGAAGCAGCAACGCAAUUACGGAAAGAUAAAAAACCCACAACGGCCUGUGCAUCUGAGCAGCUGAGAGAAAGAAGGUGGUGAGAGGCAGGUGCACGUCUUUGUUUCUGUGAGAGGAGUCGGUCUUUCGUUCCAAGCUUCCAGCUGCAAAUGCCUGCGUUUUCCUUUUUAAGUGUUUCUCUUUUUCCUUCUUAAAUGUCUACUUUCCCGACCAUAUUUCUUUCUCACAAACAGUCCAUGAAUAAAAAGAAAAGGGCUAAUCGCAAUCUGAUUAUUUCCUACCGGAUCUAAUUCCCCAGGGCUGGUUUGGGUUCUUCUUUCCCUUCAUAUGCGGGGGAUAUUGACUUUCUUUUGAAGAAGCAAAAUUCUUGAAGAUCAUGCUUAACACAGAGACCUCACAGCUGGUCAACUUGCAGAGAACAGGAGAGAACUCAAAUCCAAGUGGGAUAUCUCUAUCACUCCUCUAUUACCUAUUCACGGCCCCCUUCUCCCACCCAAGGCUCAGAGAUCACCACCGACGAAGGGACAGAGAGACAACACGCUCCAGGGUAGUGGACAUCUACAGCCAACAGCAGGAUGUGACGUGGUCCUUGCACAAAGGGACUCAGAGUGGCCUGGUAGUGACUGCUUAAGACUGGCAUAAGAGCAAGUCAGCUAGAACCCCAGCAUGGACUGUGGAUAAUUCAUGAAGUCCACUCGUAGCUGAAGAGCUAUUGGCAAUUGCUGGUGUUUGGCAGAGCCAGAGUCAGUUAUCUUCAGGAAUAUGAUGCUAGAGAGGUUGUCCCGAUUCCAGCAGCACUUCCUCCACCCAUGCACACACAUACAGGCAGUACUAAGUGGACCCAG
rnacentral:lncRNA from 1 species